rnacentral:rRNA from 1 species
CCUACGGGUGGCAGCAGUGGGGAAUAUUGCACAAUGGGGGAAACCCUGAUGCAGCGACGCCGCGUGAGUGAAGAAGUAUUUCGGUAUGUAAAGCUCUAUCAGCAGGGAAGAAGCAAGACGGUACCUGACUAAGAAGCCCCGGCUAACUACGUGCCAGCAGCCGCGGUAAUACGUAGGGGGCAAGCGUUGUCCGGAUUUACUGGGUUGAAAGGGCGUGCAGCCGGAGAGACAAGUCCGCUGUGAAAUCCACGGGCUCAACCCGUGAACUGCAUUUGAAACUGGUUCCCUUGAGUGUCGGAGUGGUAAUCGGAAUGCCUGGUGUAGCGGGGAAAUGCGUAGAUAUAAGGAAGAACACCAGUGGCGAAGGCGGAUUACUGGACGAUAACUGACGGUGAGGCGCGAAAGCGUGGGGAGCAAACAGGAUUAGAUACCCUGGUAGUC